UGCUUAAUGCUACAAGGUACAAUGGUGCAAAAAUCCAUUGGAUCCAGCAGAAGACCUUUCUAGAAGACCAACAAUUCACAUGAUGCGAAUGUUUGUUCAAAGAUUAUUAGCUAUCAAUGGCGAAUGACCAGCAAAGAUUUUCCCAUCACAAACUUGGAAACCUGUUUACAGCGAUCAAGCAGUUACAGCUUUCAAACAAAUUUUUAUGAAUAUACAGAGACAUGAGAUGAAUCUAAUAAAGGAGAAGAUAUGUCGGCCAGCUGGAGAGCUGGCAAGAGACCAGCACUGCCUAGUCCAGGGAAAGUUCACCAAACGUAAUGGUAAUCAAGCAUUUGCGAAGCCAACCAGCAGGUUUUCAAUUGGAAUGAAGAUCCUGGGAGUGGAAGUCCCAUCCACUGAGACUUUCCAGUUUCCAGUAAAAUGGAAAGGGAGGUAGUAACAAAAACUGUCAAAGGUAUCUUAAAGAAGUUGAAUAAAUCCAGCAAAGACUUGUACAAGAGAAACCUUGAGUGGAGAAAUGCUCCAACUGAAAGCAUGGGAAGUAGACCAGCCAAAUGACUAAUGCCACAUUGCAUCCAAACGACUUUUGCAACAGUGAGAAUAUUACUGAAGGCAGAAGUACCACCAGAAUUGAGUGACAAAAG